rnacentral:rRNA from 1 species
GACGAACGCUGGCGGCGUGCUUAACACAUGCAAGUCGAACGAAGAGCGAUGGAAGCUUGCUUCUAUCAAUCUUAGUGGCGAACGGGUGAGUAACGCGUAAUCAACCUGCCCUUCAGAGGGGGACAACAGUUGGAAACGACUGCUAAUACCGCAUACGAUCUAAACUCGGCAUCGAGGAUAGAUGAAAGGUGGCCUCUACAUGUAAGCUAUCACUGAAGGAGGGGAUUGCGUCUGAUUAGCUAGUUGGAGGGGUAAUGGCCCACCAAGGCGAUGAUCAGUAGCCGGUCUGAGAGGAUGAACGGCCACAUUGGGACUGAGACACGGCCCAGACUCCUACGGGAGGCAGCAGUGGGGAAUCUUCCGCAAUGGACGAAAGUCUGACGGAGCAACGCCGCGUGAGUGAUGACGGCCUUCGGGUUGUAAAGCUCUGUUAAUCGGGACGAAAGGCCUUCUUGCGAAUAGUGAGAAGGAUUGACGGUACCGGAAUAGAAAGCCA